GUUUGAUCCUGGCUCAAAACGAACGCUGGCGGCAGGCUUAACACGUGCAAGUCGAACGCCCCGCAAGGGGAGUGGCAGACGGGUGAGUAACACGUGGGAACAUACCCUUUGGUGCGGAACCACAGCUGGAAACGGCUGCUAAUACCGCAUGCGCCCUACGGGGGAAAGAUUUAUCGCCGAAGGAUUGGCCCGCGUCUGAUUAGCUAGUUGGUGAGGUAAUGGCUCACCAAGGCGACGAUCAGUAGCUGGUCUGAGAGGAUGAUCAGCCACACUGGGACUGAGACACGGCCCAGACUCCUACGGGAGGCAGCAGUGGGGAAUAUUGGACAAUGGGCGCAAGCCUGAUCCAGCCAUGCCGCGUGAGUGAUGAA
rnacentral:rRNA from 1 species